GGGUUGCUAACUCAAUGGUAGAGUACUCNNNUUUUAACCGACGAGCUCCGGGUUCGAGUCCCGGGCAACCCG
rnacentral:tRNA from 1 species